CCUACGGGAGGCUGCAGUGGGGAAUUUUGGACAAUGGGGGCAACCCUGAUCCAGCAAUGCCGCGUGUGUGAAGAAGGCCUUCGGGUUGUAAAGCACUUUUGUCCGGAAAGAAAUUGCGCUGGCUAAUACCCGGCGUAGAUGACGGUACCGGAAGAAUAAGCACCGGCUAACUACGUGCCAGCAGCCGCGGUAAUACGUAGGGUGCGAGCGUUAAUCGGAAUUACUGGGCGUAAAGCGUGCGCAGGCGGUUUUGUAAGACAGGCGUGAAAUCCCCGGGCUCAACCUGGGAAUUGCGCUUGUGACUGCAAGGCUAGAGUGCGUCAGAGGGGGGUAGAAUUCCACGUGUAGCAGUGAAAUGCGUAGAGAUGUGGAGGAAUACCGAUGGCGAAGGCAGCCCCCUGGGACGUGACUGACGCUCAUGCACGAAAGCGUGGGGAGCA
rnacentral:rRNA from 1 species